AUCAUCGUAGGCCAUGCAAAUAUUUUGUCAGUUGAUUUUUCCAUGUGCCUAAGAAAUUAUUUAUGUUUUUCAUUCUGUAUUCAGCUUUGGUUGUGCCUAGACCUAAAUUAUUUAUUUCAACAGGAGAAGAGAAUUUCUGCUCCGAUUUUUCCUUUCCGUUUUAGUAAUAAGGAUAAUAUGUUGUUGCCUAGCAAAUCAAAUUUCUAGAACAUCUUGAUUUUUCCUUUUUCUUGAAUCUUUUUAAGAACGAAACAUUUUUUCCUAACGGGCAAAUAUUAAAUCUGUUAAUUGGUAUCACCAGAGCUUGUCCUUAAAUUUGCCUUCGAUUUUGCGUCAAUGCGAGGUAGCUAUGGGAAAAUUAGUUAGUCCAAUGCCCAAAAUCUGUCAAAUGGUGUAGUCUAUUAUUGACAGGAUAACUGGAUCCAACGGAUACGACUCCCAAUUUUUACCACGAUGACCAGGAUUAAUCGACAGUGCUUCGUUUCUAGCCGAACUUUAAUAUUUUUCCUUAGUAUCCUUACAAUCUAUUGAGAAAAACUUUUUUUUUCAACUCGUAACGACUGGGCACUACAUAGAAUGGGAACUCGGCCGAUUCAUCUACAUCUGCAAAAGCAAAACAUAUUCAACAGAAGUCAAUUAGUCUGAAGUGUCGCGGUUUUUUCGAUAAAAAUAUUCCAAGAUCUAUAUAUAACGUCGUUAUAAUAGCUUCAAUCUUCGUUAUUGUUGUCAUUGGCAGCUUUCGAGAUGAUUGUUUUCAGAAGUUAUUUCGUGGCAAAAUUUACAACUGGUAUCACCAGUUCUUAUCCUUUCACAAAGGUUCGAUAUUGCCUGAUAGAUGGGCAUAAUAUCCACAUGGUGUUUCCUUAAUAUUCAUAAAUUUCAUCAAAAAACACUAUUUAAGGACAUGAAUCAAAUGUCUGGAUCCAACGGAAUCGUUUCCGCCUCCUGUAAAGUUUUCCAGAAUGCGUAGGCUUCAUUGAUAACAAUUCGUUGCAAUACGAGCUUAAAUAUGGCUAAUUUUUCCGUAAUAUCCUUACAUAUUCCUUCUUUUUAACUGCAAAACAGAUUAAAUCUGCCAACUCGUACAAUCAAAUGUGAUCAACGAUAGAGACAACUUUUUAUGGACAGCAAUAUGCAAGAUUCCUGGCUUUUAUUUUCCUUAAUCAUAACCAAAACAAUUAUCCUUGUUCUCAUCAUUCAUCUCAUGAGAUCAUCUUCGUCACCGUCAGUGAUUUUGCAAUGACAUCUUUCUGGGCAUCUUAACUUCCUUAUCUUCUGAUGUGAUGCUUCAACGAGCUGUGCGAGGAAUCCGGAAUCGGCACAUAGAUGAAAUUAUAACAAGAAUUUUCCAAAUUAAGCAAGAUUUCAAUAACGAUGUAUAAAAAUAGUUAAAUUAAAAUGUGCUGCAUUUUACUUUUUUUUUAAA